GAUGAAGAACGUAGCGAAAUGCGAUAAGUAAUGUGAAUUGCAGAAUUCAGUGAAUCAUCGAAUCUUUGAACGCACAUUGCGCCCCUUGGUAUUCCGAGGGGCAUGCCUGUUCGAGCGUCAUUAUAACCCCUCAAGCUCGGCUUGGUGUUGGGGCCUGCCGCACGGGCAGCCCUUAAAAUCAGUGGCGGUGCCAUCUGGCUCUAAGCGUAGUAAUUCUUCUCGCUAUAGAGUCCCGGUGGAUGCUUGCCAUUAACCCCCAAUUUCAAUGGUUGACCUCGGAUCGGGUAGGGAUACCCGCUGAACUUAAGCAUAUCAAUAAGCGGAGGA
rnacentral:misc_RNA from 1 species